GGAGGGAUAAGCCAAAUGGCAAAUGAUUUAGGUAAACUAGAAAAAUGGUCAGAGUUGUGGCAACUGACAUUUAAUGUGGAUAAGUGCAAGAUAAUGCAUCUUGGGCGUAAAAACCCAAGGGCAGAGUACAGAAUAUUUGAUAGAGUCCUAACCUCAACAUCUGAGGAAAGGGAUUUAGGGGUAAUUAUUUCUGAUGACUUAAAGGUAGGCAGACAAUGUAAU
rnacentral:lncRNA from 1 species